rnacentral:rRNA from 1 species
GAGUGGCGAACGGGUGAGUAACACGUGGGUAACCUGCCCAGAAGUAGGGGAUAACACCUGGAAACAGAUGCUAAUACCGUAUAACAGAGAAAACCGCAUGGUUUUCUUUUAAAAGAUGGCUCUGCUAUCACUUCUGGAUGGACCCGCGGCGUAUUAGCUAGUUGGUGAGGUAAAGGCUCACCAAGGCAGUGAUACGUAGCCGACCUGAGAGGGUAAUCGGCCACAUUGGGACUGAGACACGGCCCAGACUCCUACGGGAGGCAGCAGUAGGGAAUCUUCCACAAUGGACGCAAGUCUGAUGGAGCAACGCCGCGUGAGUGAAGAAGGGUUUCGGCUCGUAAAGCUCUGUUGUUAAAGAAGAACGUGGGUAAGAGUAACUGUUUACCCAGUGACGGUAUUUAACCAGAAAGCCACGGCUAACUACGUGCCAGCAGCCGCGGUAAUACGUAGGUGGCAAGCGUUAUCCGGAUUUAUUGGGCGUAAAGCGAGCGCAGGCGGUCUUUUAAGUCUAAUGUGAAAGCCUUCGGCUCAACCGAAGAAGUGCAUUGGAAACUGGGAGACUUGAGUGCAGAAGAGGACAGUGGAACUCCAUGUGUAGCGGUGAAAUGCGUAGAUAUAUGGAAGAACACCAGUGGCGAAGGCGGCUGUCUGGUCUGCAACUGACGCUGAGGCUCGAAAGCAUGGGUAGCGAACAGGAUUAGAUACCCUGGUAGUCCAUGCCGUAAACGAUGAUUACUAAGUGUUGGAGGGUUUCCGCCCUUCAGUGCUGCAGCUAACGCAUUAAGUAAUCCGCCUGGGGAGUACGACCGCAAGGUUGAAACUCAAAAGAAUUGACGGGGGCCCGCACAAGCGGUGGAGCAUGUGGUUUAAUUCGAAGCUACGCGAAGAACCUUACCAGGUCUUGACAUCUUCUGACAGUCUAAGAGAUUAGAGGUUCCCUUCGGGGACAGAAUGACAGGUGGUGCAUGGUUGUCGUCAGCUCGUGUCGUGAGAUGUUGGGUUAAGUCCCGCAACGAGCGCAACCCUUAUUACUAGUUGCCAGCAUUAAGUUGGGCACUCUAGUGAGACUGCCGGUGACAAACCGGAGGAAGGUGGGGACGACGUCAAAUCAUCAUGCCCCUUAUGACCUGGGCUACACACGUGCUACAAUGGAUGGUACAACGAGUCGCGAGACCGCGAGGUUAAGCUAAUCUCUUAAAACCAUUCUCAGUUCGGACUGUAGGCUGCAACUCGCCUACACGAAGUCGGAAUCGCUAGUAAUCGCGGAUCAGCAUGCCGCGGUGAAUACGUUCCCGGGCCUUGUACACACCGCCCGUCACACCAUGAGAGUUUGUAACACCCAAAGCCGGUGGGGUAACCUUUUAGGAGCUAGCCGUCUAAGGUGG